CACUGACAACUAAGGUUAAAGAUAACUGUGUGCAUGUCGACACACUGACAACUAAGGUUAAAGAUAACUGUGUGCAUGUCGACACACUGACAACUAAGGUUAAAGAUAACUGUGUGCAUGUCGACACACUGACAACUAAGGUUAAAGAUAACUGUGUGCAUGUCGACACACUGACAACUAAGGUUAAAGAUAACUGUGUGCAUGUCGACACACUGACAACUAAGGUUAAAGAUAACUGUGUGCAUGUCGACACACUGACAACUAAGGUUAAAGAUAACUGUGUGCAUGUCGACACACUGACAACUAAGGUUAAAGAUAACUGUGUGCAUGUCGACACACUGACAACUAAGGUUAAAGAUAACUGUGUGCAUGUCGACACACUGACAACUAAGGUUAAAGAUAACUGUGUGCAUGUCGACACACUGACAACUAAGGUUAAAGAUAACUGUGUGC